GGGGAACCGUGCCCCACUAGUCUGGGAUACCACUUGGAACAGGUGCUAAUACCGGAUAAGAAAGCGGAUCGCAUGAUCAGCUUUUAAAAGGCGGCGUAAGCUGUCGCUAUGGGAUGGCCCCGCGGUGCAUUAGCUAGUUGGUAAGGUAAAGGCUUACCAAGGCGAUGAUGCAUAGCCGAGUUGAGAGACUGAUCGGCCACAUUGGGACUGAGACACGGCCCAAACUCCUACGGGAGGCAGCAGCG
rnacentral:rRNA from 1 species